rnacentral:rRNA from 1 species
UACUCGAGCGGCGAACGGGUGAGUAACACGUGAGCAACCUGCCCCAGGCUUUGGGAUAACCCCGGGAAACCGGGGCUAAUACCGAAUAUGACCUUGCAUCGCAUGGUGGGUGGUGGAAAGUUUUUCGGCUUGGGAUGGGCUCGCGGCCUAUCAGCUUGUUGGUGGGGUGAUGGCCUACCAAGGCGACGACGGGUAGCCGGCCUGAGAGGGCGACCGGCCACACUGGGACUGAGACACGGCCCAGACUCCUACGGGAGGCAGCAGUGGGGAAUAUUGCACAAUGGGCGGAAGCCUGAUGCAGCGACGCCGCGUGAGGGAUGACGGCCUUCGGGUUGUAAACCUCUUUCAGCAGGGACGAAGCGUAAGUGACGGUACCUGCAGAAGAAAGAAGCGCCGGCCAACUACGUGCCAGCAGCCGCGGUAAGACGUAGGGCGCGAGCGUUGUCCGGAUUUAUUGGGCGUAAAGAGCUCGUAGGCGGCUUGUCGCGUCGACCGUGAAAACCUGGGGCUCAACCCCAGG